rnacentral:rRNA from 1 species
AUUGAACGCUGGCGGCAGGCUUAACACAUGCAAGUCGAGCGGAGAUGAGGUGCUUGCACCUUAUCUUAGCGGCGGACGGGUGAGUAAUGCUUAGGAAUCUGCCAUUUAGUGGGGGACAACAUUCCGAAAGGAAUGCUAAUACCGCAUACGUCCUACGGGAGAAAGCAGGGGAUCUUCGGACCUUGCGCUAAAUGAUGAGCCUAAGUCGGAUUAGCUAGUUGGUGGGGGAAAGGCCUACCAAGGCGACGAUCUGUAGCGGGUCUGAGAGGGUGAUCCGCCACACUGGGACUGGGACACGGCCCAGACUCCUACGGGAGGCAGCAGUGGGGAAUAUUGGACAAUGGGCGGAAGCCUGAUCCAGCCAUGCCGCGUGUGUGAAGAAGGCCUUUUGGUUGUAAAGCACUUUAAGCGAGGAGGAGGCUACUAGUACUAAUACUACUGGAUAGUGGACGUUACUCGCAGAAUAAGCACCGGCUAACUCUGUGCCAGCCGCCGCGGUAAAAC